UACGACCAUAUCCCGAUGAGACGCCGGCUCCCGUCAGAUCACCGAAGUUAAACUACGUAGUGUCUGGUCAGUAACUAGAUGGGUAAUCACUUGAGAAUACCAGGUGGU